UCUCCGUUGGUGAACCAGCGGAGGGAUCAUUACAGGACUCGCAAGACUCCUACAACCCUGUGAACUUAACUAUAAGCACGUUGCUUCGGCGGGUGUCUCGGAGGGGGUUCUCCCUCCCCGAGACGCUAAACCCGCCGGCAGCCUACUAUACUCUGUCUCUUUGCGUUGGCAUCUCGAGUACAAUCAAACAAGUGAAAACUUUCAACAACGGAUCUCUUGGUUCUG
rnacentral:misc_RNA from 1 species